GGAAGUUUUCCCUAACUGGCCAUCAUUUCAGGGACUUUGAAUGUAAGAUAUUAUUUCCAGUCUAUUUGUUCUUUCUUUGCUUGGCUUAGAUGAGAUGCAUCACUGUUAAUAAUUAAUUAAUGAGGAGAAAAAGAAAGGAAAACUAAAGUUUCCCUCUGUGUCUCUUCUCUUUAAAACAUUUUGUUUCUGACUGAGACCUUUGGCAGAGUUCAAACUGCUGAAGGAGACUGUUCUUGGUUGGGCCAGGCACCAGGUCCCCAUAAGGCUGUACCUCCCUGUGUGGGAUCAACCAGAACUCAACAGGCUCCCUCCCUGCUGAAGCACUUGGAUUGCUGUGACCCUCGUGGUUGGUGGAGUUGGCGCUGAGAGCCUGGGGUGGAUGGUGACUAGUACUUUCGACCACUGAACAUCACACUGGUCGCCAACCAUGUUCAGCAGCUCAGCAUGGUGAAGUUUCUUCAGAGAAAACACGAAAGAUGGACACUUGCAGAGGGUAUUUAGGCCAGUUGUUCAUUAUUCUUUCAAGAGCCAGCUGAUGUGUUUUUAUAAUGAAAAGGAAUCUUAGAAAGGAGACAGUUCUAAAGAAACCCCUACUGGUCAGGCCAGGCUCUGCACUCCCCCUCCAUGGACUGUUGAAUCUGCAUUGCCAUUCUAGAACUUGGGGAAAGACAGGUGAUGGGAGCUAAGCAAGAAAGGGACGUGUCUCUUCUGCACCUCUGUGCACGACUCCAGAGCGCAGCUCCAGCUGGUGAGAAGAGGAGAUAAAUGUAAAACUCACAGAGAGAGACUGCUAUUUCACUGCGGAAAUAAUUAGAUGGACCUUUCUUGACUUCUAGACUACAGAGUAAAAUACUUCUUCCAGGAUAGCUAUUAAUGGAAGAAGUCCCAAAGACAAGUGCUCGUUGACCAAAGGCAGGCUAAUUCGCAAAGAUCAAUGGUCCGACAGCCCUCAUCUAUCAUCUUGGACAUGUGUGCAUGGUAAUCAGUGGUCAUCCAUCUCUUUCCUGUAUGUCGAUUAAUCUUUUAAAUUUUGUAGGCUUUCUACCCUGGUGUAGUGCUUCUUAUA